GCGGGUGUGGCGGAAUGGUAGACGCAGAGGUCUCAAACACCUCCUCCUCACGGAAUGUCGGUUCGAGUCCGACCACCCGCA
rnacentral:tRNA from 1 species